GUAUAGGUUUGGAGGAAUGCUUUUUGUGUACAGUCUAUUGGAGUUGUGUACUCUUCCUAAUGAACUCUUGAUGUUACCCAUAAUUAGGGUGUGGUCGUCACAGCCCAGUAAUUAUACUACUUCCAUGGACUACAGGAAGUCUAAAUAGAGAUCUAUACUUCUGAAGAAAAUUAAUGGAUAGAUCUACUUAUGUUGAAAGAGACUGUCAUACACAAAGUCAGACAUUCGAACCUUGUAGGCCAACCGAAGCUGAUGUUGGGAGAGAGACUGGCCAUUCUGCAAACAAAUUCAGGGCUAGAUCUAUAUCUAGCACAAGUAGUGAUGAUGUCGAGAGAGACUGCUCUAGAUCUGUUAAGAGAACCAGGCCCCAGAGUGAUGUUGAGGGAGACUCUCCAAUAAAAAUACCUCGUGUUUUCAACAGUGUUCACGAUCAGUCGCUCUACUUAGCUACUUCAAAGGAUAAGAUUGAAGAAGCUAUAUUUCUCUUAGCCCAAGGAGCUAAUCCAAACUAUAUCUUUCCAGAACCACCUAGGUAUAGCACACUUCACAAAGCAUGCUACAAUAACAACUCACAAUUAAUAAAGGAACUACUAAAACAUGAUGUACUGAACACAAUCAAUCUAAAGACGAUCAAUGGCUAUACUCCCUUGCACAUAGCGUGCGUGUUUGGACACAUACAAUGCAUAAAGCUUCUUCUCGAAAGCUGUAUCUGCAAUACAGAAGUGAAAAAUAACGAAGAUAAAACACCCUUGGAUCUGGUAAAAGCAAAAGCAAAAGGUGAACUAAAUGGAAAAUUCAACAAAAUCCAGAAGUACAUGGAAUGUUUUUUGCUAACAGCCCACCUAGCAAUACCUUUAUGACAAGUUCUGACGUGUUUUCCCAUCGUAUUGAUAUUGACAAGCACCUGCGUUCACUUUUGGAGGUCUUAUCUGAAGUGUUUUGUAAAUGGUUUGAAUUUGGAGUUGAACUUCAAAUUGAAGGCUCUGAGCUAGAGCGAUUCAGUAUGGAAAAUCAAGGAGUCCAACAACAGUGUUUCACAGCUAUGCUGGUAUAUUUUUUCACUCAUGCAUGAUACAACUUCUACUUGGUCAAGCAUCAUUAGGGUAGUGCAGUCACGUACUGUUAACUGUCCACAUUUAGUGAAGCAACUUAUCAAUUUGGCCGAAAAAUUUGCUAAGUAAUUUCUUUAUUAUCUUCAUUCCGUUAAUUACUACAUGUACUAUUUCCCCAUGCAGCACAAUACUCAAGCGUACCUAUUUUGCCUAUAAUUAUGCUAGCCUAUAAUUAUAUAUAUAUACAGUGGAACCUCCAUUAACGACCACCUCCGAAGAGCAACCACACGCUAUAUAACGACCAAGAGCUCAGGUCCGGAUUGAAACUACAAUGACUUCAAUGUAAAGCAACCUCUCAGGAGCGACCACCUCUCUACUCCGCGUAUAUAACGAGCAGUUUUCUAGUCUCUGAUCAGCUUUAGUAAUGGAAAAUAACCUCCCAGAACAGACAGCCACACUCAGCUAUAUAGACUCAUCUAUCUAUAGGUGCGCUUGAGCAUAUCUGCAAAAUUAUAUAUAGUCAUUAGAUUCGAGGUAAGGUCGUUUUUAAGCCGCGGCUAUUCCCGAAAUAUAGCCAUCUCGCUAUUCCGGCCAAGCUGCAUGGUGACCGGAUUAACAAGAGUCUACUGAACCAAUGAAAUACUGCGUUCUCUCUGAUAAUGAUUUGUGUUGACUAUAAUAGUUAUGUUAGCAACACAAUAAGUGCUUAGAUUCAGACAGCGUGCAUGGUUGACAGCUUAUAAUUAUUAGCCUUGAUCCCAUGCCGCACUAUCUAUAAGGCCUGUGAAGGAGGCUAUCAUCAUAGAUAAUAGAAAUUUCCUAUUAUAAUUAUGCCCUAUUAUAUCUAUGAUUCCAUGCAUACAUAAAUACUCCAUUGUAUAGUACGAGAGGAGACUGCAUAGAAUAAUUUUAUUAUGUGUGUGUCUGAGUUGGCAUGUGCUGCCACACCGGCGUCAAUUAGCUGCCGCCAUUUGUCUAGUAUAUGUUAAUUAUAAUAAAGUCUUCAAUUAACAUGGGAGAGGCAGUGCCGUUACUUUAUAAGGAACGAGUGUUUAUGCUGUCAAUAGCAUUAUCUCUGACAGACGUGAGAGCGUGUGUGUUGAUGAAGUAAGGCAUAAUUAUAAUUAUACGUAUUUCAACCCCCUCCCAAAGCAAUGUGAUUUGCUCGGCUAACACUGAUUUGAUUGAUCUCAGCCGAGUUCAGAGUGGUGCCGAGUGUUGUACUACUGGUGGGGUAGUGGCUUUCAUAGACAAUGCAGAAAGAUGUUUCCGAUUAAGUGACUUGACUCUUUAAAUACUCCACUUAACUACUCCAUAAUAGUUUCACAGACAAAACACAUUAUGUUUACUGCAUAUGGUUGCUAAGGUUUUAAAGUUGUGGUAACUAAAAUUAUUAAUGUGCUACUCAGGGAUAUGCCCACUGGUCCAUGUUGGUCCAUACUAACCAACUCUCAGCAGCCACUGUUGGCUUGCAUCAGAAUCUUUUUUCCAAUUCUUUUACUCAUAGACAAGAACGUUCUUUGAGAGACUAUGAUUAUCGCUAUGAUCCAAGAUGCUUAUAAUCGAACUAUGUGUAUAUAAGGCGUAUAAUUGCGAACGGCGACUUUCACUCAAAUAUACCCCCACCCGCGGCCUCAAAUUGAGGCUUACACAUGUGGCUAUGAUAAUUGGAAUAAUAGGCAGAACCAUGAGCAUGCAUGCCAUAAAACAAUAAUAUGGUAAAUUUUUUAGCAAAAUUGGUCAAUGCAUAAUUAUAUGCAUGCAUGCCUAGUAACCAUGCUGUCCCUAGGAACAUAUGAGUUAUAGCCAGUAAGUUAUAGUUAAACAAUGGCCUCGAGUGGUAUAUUUGAUUUACACGCGAGAGUAAUCUGAUAAACCACGAGGCGCAGCCGAGUUGGUUUAUCUGAUUACUCGAGCGUGUAAAGCAAAUAUACCACGAGAGGCCAUAGUUUAACUGGCUUGUACUAUGUUUAGAACUGUACUACUAUGUUUAGCUACUUCCUGUCAUGCUUCUUCAAUGAAUAUGCUUAUAACUACUGUUUGACGUCACUGUUGCUAUAGCUAUGCAAUGAAUUUGCUAUUUUUUUUAAAAAGCGAUGGCUGAUUCAAGCAAGCGUCUAUGAUUCAAGCAAGCAAUUGUGAAGGCUGUGUUUCUGCAUCUUUAUAGAAGGCACUUCAAGAAAGUACACUGGUGCUACUUGUCUACAAAGAGUGCAAAUGUACCCCAAAAUAUCAUUCCACAAGCCUACUGUACUGGCCCAGUGCAGUGCAGUCUCUUUAGUCUGAGAAACACUUGGCAGUCUGGACCCUUCUUACUGCUCCUGGUCCCAUGCAGCAAUGUAAUAAGCAGGUUGUGACAACCAAUGUUGAAAGUUGAAAAAAAGCAACACAAACAAACCAGUAUCGUUCGAUUCACGAUCACGGAGUUCUUCGAAAUUUGCCUCCUUUUUGGAACUAUUCAUCGCUCGAACUUGGCUCUUUUUAUGUUGACUAAAAUCAUUAGUAGUCUGUUUUGUAUUGAAUUCUCUCUAACUCUAAUAUUGCUAAUAUUGAUUGAAUUGAGUAGUGUGUCAUUGUUUUAAUUGAAA